rnacentral:rRNA from 1 species
AGCGAACGCUGGCGGCAGGCUUAACACAUGCAAGUCGAGCGGGCGUAGCAAUACGUCAGCGGCAGACGGGUGAGUAACGCAUGGGAACGUACCUUUUGGUUCGGAACAACACAGGGAAACUUGUGCUAAUACCGGAUAAGCCCUUACGGGGAAAGAUUUAUCGCCGAAAGAUCGGCCCGCGUCUGAUUAGCUAGUUGGUGAGGUAACGGCUCACCAAGGCGACGAUCAGUAGCGGGUCUGAGAGGAUGAUCAGCCACAUUGGGACUGAGACACGGCCCAAACUCCUACGGGAGGCAGCAGUGGGGAAUAUUGGACAAUGGGGGCAACCCUGAUCCAGCCAUGCCGCGUGAGUGAUGAAGGCCCUAGGGUUGUAAAGCUCUUUUGUGCGGGAAGAUAAUGACGGUACCGCAAGAAUAAGCCCCGGCUAACUUCGUG